rnacentral:miRNA from 1 species
GUAUGUGGGACGGUAAACCAU